AAUCCCAUAAACCGUGGCUCAGUUCAGAUCGUAGGCUGCAACUCGCCUACGUGAAGUAGGAAUCGCUAGUAAUCGCAGGUCAGCAUACUGCGGUGAAUACGUUCCCGGGCCUUGUACACACCGCCCGUCACACCAUGGAAGUUGGCCAUGCCCGAAGUCGUUACUCCAACCCUUGUGGAGGAGGACGCCGAAGGUGGGGCUAAUGACUGGGGUGAAGUCGUAACAAGGUAGCCGUACCGGAAGGUGCGGCUGGAUCACCUCCUAACAGGGAGACAACAAAAUAUUUAAUAUUAUUAUUUUGUCACCUUAGGUCGAUCGGUAUCUCACGUUUUUAAUUUAUUAAGAAUUUCAUUUCCUAAGUUUUUCUAGGUCACACCCAUUAUUUUUCCUGGGCCAUUAGCUCAGGUGGUUAGAGCGCACCCCUGAUAAGGGUGAGGUCCCUGGUUCAAGUCCAGGAUGGCCCAUAUCUCUAUGUUGGGGGUAUAGCUCAGUUGGUAGAGCGCCUGCUUUGCAAGCAGGAUGUCAGCGGUUCGAGUCCGCUUACCUCCACUGAUUACCACCUCUUCCAUAACCGGUAGAAAGGAAAUGUUUUGAGUCGUGAUCAAAUUCUGAAAGAAUCUAGCUUCCUAAUGAAAUCAUUAAGAUGCUGGACUCAUUGAAUUAAUUUCAUUGUUUUCAGAGAACCUUGACAACUGCAUAGAUUAUUUUUUAAAGACAAUAAGCAUCUUUAAUGAUGCAGAUUUAUUAUUU
rnacentral:misc_RNA from 1 species